CGAAAGCCUGACGGAGCAACGCCGCGUGAGGGAUGAAGGCCUCUGGGCUGUAAACCUCUUUUCUCAAGGAAGAAGACCUGACGGUACUUGAGGAAUAAGCCACGGCUAAUUCCGUGCCAGCAGCCGCGGUAAUACGGGAGUGGCAAGCGUUAUCCGGAAUUAUUGGGCGUAAAGCGCCCGCAGGCGGCCCUGUAAGUCUGUCGUUAAAGCGUGGGGCUUAACUCCAUUUCAGCGAUGGAAACUGUGAGGCUUGAGUGUGGUAGGGGCAGAGGGAAUUCCCGGUGUAGCGGUGAAAUGCGUAGAUAUCGGGAAGAACACCAGUGGCGAAGGCGCUCUGCUGGGCCAUAACUGACGCUCUUGGACGAAAGCCAGGGGAGCG
rnacentral:rRNA from 1 species